rnacentral:rRNA from 1 species
GGUUACUGCUAUCAGGGUUUGAUUAAGCCAUGCAAGUUAUGUGUUUUUUGUAAACACGGCGAACUGCUCGGUAACACGCGGAUAAUCUGCCCUCAGGUUUGGGAUAACCCUGGGAAACUGGGGAUAAUACCAAAUGUUUCAGGGUUGCUGGAAUGCUCUUUGAUUGAAAGCUUCGGUGCCUGAGGAUGAGUCUGUGGCCUAUCAGGUUGUAGUGGGUGUAAUGUACCUACUAGCCAGCGACGGGUACGGGUUGUGAGAGCAAGAGCCCGGAGAUGGAUUCUGAGACAUGAAUCCAGGCCCUACGGGGUGCAGCAGGCGCGAAACCUUUACAAUGCGCGAAAGCGCGAUAAGGAGACCCUGAGUGCUAGCACAUAGUGCUGGCUGUCCAGCUGUUUAAAAAGCAGUUGUUAGCAAGGGCCGGGCAAGACCGGUGCCAGCCGCCGCGGUAACACCGGCGGCCCGAGUGGUAACCGAUUUUAUUGGGCUUAAAGCGUUCGUAGCCGGUUUAGUAAGUUUCUUAGGAAAUCUAGCAGCUUAACUGUUAGACGUCUAAGAGAUACUGCUAUGACUUGGGACCGGGAGAGGUAGGAGGUACUCCAAGGGUAGGGGUGAAAUCUUGUAAUCCUUGGGGGACCAUCGAUGGCGAAGGCAUCCUACCAGAACGGGUUCGACGGUGAGGGACGAAAGCUGGGGGCACAAACCGGAUUAGAUACCCGGGUAGUCCCAGCUGUAAACGAUGCUCGCUAGGUGUCAGAUACGGUGCGUCCGUAUUUGGUGCCGUAGGGAAACCGUGAAGCGAGCCGCCUGGGAAGUACGGUCGCAAGGCUGGAACUUAA